GUCUGUUUGAAAUUUAUAAUCAGUCUAGCCUGCCCACUGAGUAUUUUAAAGGCCGCAGUAUUUUGACUGUGCGAAGGUAGCAUAAUCAUUAGUCUUUUAAUUGGAGGCUGGAAUGAAUGGCUGGACAAGAAUUUUUCUGUCUUAAUAGUAAGAGUUGAAGUUGACUUUUGAGUGAAGAGGCUCUAAUAAUUCUAAGGGACGAUAAGACCCUAUAAAACUUUACAUUUCUUUUCAAUAGAGUUUAAAUUAUUUGUAAAAAUAUUUUUUAUUGGAUUUAAUGUUUCAUUGGGGCGGUGGAGGUAUAAAUUAUUAACUGCUUAGUUUUAUAAACAAUUGUUUUUGGUUAUUAUUGAUCCUUAAAUAGAGAACAAAAGAAGAAGUUACUUUAGGGAUAACAGCGUUAUUUUUUUUGAGAGUUCAUAUCGACAAAAAAAUUUGCGACCUCGAUGUUGAAUUAAAAUUUCUUUUUGGUGCAGGAGCCUUAAUAGAUGGUCUGUUCGACCUUUAAAAUUUUACAUGAUUUGAGUUCAGACCGGUGUAAG
rnacentral:rRNA from 1 species